rnacentral:rRNA from 1 species
AUCGAACGCUAGCGGGAUGCCUUACACAUGCAAGUCGAACGGAGUGGCGAACGGGUGAGUACUGUAUCGGAACGUGCCCAUUAGCGGGGGAUAACUACGCGAAAGCGUAACUAAUACCGCAUACUCUUGGCGCGGCCGCUAUCGGAUUAGCUAGUUGGGGGGGUAACGGCUCACCAAGGCGACGAUCCGUAGCUGGUUUGAGGGGACGACCAGCCAAGCUGGGACUGAGACACGGCCCAGACUCCUACGUGAGGCAGCAGUGGGGAAUUUUGGACAAUGGGGGAAACCCUGAUCCAGCAAUCCCGCGUGUGCGAUGAAGGCCGUCGGGUUGUAAAGCACUGUUGGCAGGAAAGCGGGACCUGAAGAAUAAGCACCGGCUAACUACGUGCCAGCAGCCGCGGUAAUGC